rnacentral:rRNA from 1 species
CCCUUAGAUGUUCUGGGCCGCACGCGAGCUACACUGAGUGGAUCAGCGGGUCAGGUUGCGCGAAAGCGUUUCCUAAUCUUUAAAUCCGCUCGUGAUGGGGAUUGACGGUUGCAAUUUUCUGUCAUGAACGAGGAAUACCUUGUAAGCGCGGGUCAUCAUCCCGCGCUGAAUACGUCCCUGCCCUUUGUACACACCGCCCGUCGCUCCUACCGAUUGAGUGGUCCGGUGAGGCUUUGGGAUCUGAGCGGAAAGAGCGUUUCGCUGUUUCUGCUCGGAAAACUCAGUCGAACCUUAUCAUUUAGAGGAAGGAGAAGUCGUAACA